CCACUUUGCAUUUCGCUUCUCUUCUCCUCUUUAUAUAUACGUAAAAAUUGAAGAAGAAAAAAAGUCCUAAUUUUUUUUUUUCAGUGAGCGAGGGAGAUGUCUGGCAUAGCGCGUGGCCGGCUUGCGGAGGAGCGAAAGGCGUGGCGUAAGAACCAUCCUCAUGGUUUUGUGGCUAAGCCAGAGACUCUGCCGGAUGGUUCAGUGAAUCUGAUGGUAUGGCAUUGCACUAUCCCCGGUAAAGCUGGAACUGAUUGGGAGGGUGGUUACUACCCACUGACUCUCCACUUCAGUGAAGAUUAUCCUAGCAAGCCACCAAAGUGCAAAUUUCCUCAAGGCUUCUUUCACCCCAAUGUCUAUCCUUCUGGAACUGUUUGCCUUUCAAUCCUCAAUGAGGAUAGUGGGUGGAGACCAGCCAUUACUGUGAGGCAAAUUCUUGUCGGUAUCCAAGAUUUGUUAGACCAGCCUAAUCCUGCAGAUCCUGCUCAAACAGAAGGUUAUCACCUCUUCAUCCAGGAUGCUGUUGAAUACAAGAGAAGGAUCCGCCAGCAGGCCAAGCAAUACCCCUCUCUUAUCUAAGACUUGGUUACUGCUGAUGGACGAGGGAUGGCAGAGAAGUUGUCCCAGUCUGUUUGUAUACUGGAGUAAUGUCUUGAUGAUAUCCAUAUUUGCAUUUGGGCAGCUGUAGGUGACAACCCCUGAAGUUCAACACUGAUGGGACUGGCAUCAUAAUUUAUGAUGUGGGAUUGCGUUUUCCUAAAUCCCCUUAGAAUCAUGCAAUUAAAGGGAUUUCUCUGUAUUCAUUGCAAAUCAGUUGCAGUUCGAAUGAAUUUAGAGAUUCCAACUGAAAUUUCACCAAUGUUUAUUCUUCACUUCUAGCGAACUAUUUGUAAUAAGUCCAUCGACAAGCUUAAUGAUUGAUUUAAUGAUCUAAACACACUUAACAGCA